rnacentral:rRNA from 1 species
GCAUAUCAAUAAGCGGAGGAAAAGAAACCAACAGGGAUUGCCUCAGUAGCGGCGAGUGAAGCGGCAAGAGCUCAGAUUUGAAAUCGUGCUUUGCGGCACGAGUUGUAGAUUGCAGGUUGGAGUCUGUGUGGAAGGCGGUGUCCAAGUCCCUUGGAACAGGGCGCCCAGGAGGGUGAGAGCCCCGUGGGAUGCCGGCGGAAGCAGUGAGGCCCUUCUGACGAGUCGAGUUGUUUGGGAAUGCAGCUCCAAGCGGGUGGAAAUUCCAUCUAAGGCUAAAUACUGGCGAGAGACCGAUAGCGAACAAGUACUGUGAAGGAAAGAUGAAAAGCACUUUGAAAAGAGAGUGAAACAGCACGUGAAAUUGUGAAAGGGAAGGGUAUUGCGCCCGACAUGGGGAUUGCGCACCGCUGUCUCUUGUAGGCGGCGCUCUGGGCGCCCUCUGGGCAGCAUCGGUCCUGCUGCGGGAGAAGGGGCUCCGGAAAGUGGCUCUUCGGAGUGUAUAGCCGGGGCCAGAUGCCGCGUGUGGGGACCGAGGACUGCGGCUUCUGUCUCGGAUGCUGGCAUAACGGCGCAAUACCGCCCGUCUU